rnacentral:rRNA from 1 species
AUUGAACGCUGGCGGAAUGCUUUACACAUGCAAGUCGAGCGGCAGCGCGGGGCAACCUGGCGGCGAGCGGCGAACGGGUGAGUAAUGCAUCGGAACAUGUCCAAGUCGUGGGGAUAGCCCGGCGAAAGCCGGAUUAAUACCGCAUACGCCCGAGAGGGGAAAGCCGGGGACCGCAAGGCCUGGCGCGAUUGGGUUGGCCGAUGUCCGAUUAGCUAGUUGGCGGGGUAAGAGCCCACCAAGGCGAUGAUCGGUAGCUGGUCUGAGAGGAUGAUCAGCCACACUGGGACUGAGACACGGCCCAGACUCCUACGGGAGGCAGCAGUGGGGAAUUUUGGACAAUGGGGGAAACCCUGAUCCAGCCAUUCCGCGUGAGUGAAGAAGGCCUUCGGGUUGUAAAGCUCUUUUGUCCGGAACGAAACGGUGCUCGUGAAUAUCGAGCGCUACUGACGGUACCGGAAGAAUAAGCACCGGCUAACUACGUGCCAGCCGCCGCAGUAACAC